rnacentral:rRNA from 1 species
UACGUAGGGUGCAAGCGUUGUCCGGAAUUAUUGGGCGUAAAGAGCUCGUAGGCGGUUUGUCGCGUCUGCUGUGAAAACCUAAGGCUCAACCUUGGGCUUGCAGUGGGUACGGGCAGACUAGAGUGCGGUAGGGGUGACUGGAAUUCCUGGUGUAGCGGUGGAAUGCGCAGAUAUCAGGAGGAACACCGAUGGCGAAAGGCAGGUCCACU